AAUAUUGGAAGGAUAUGGAAAAACAGCAUGUGACAAAGGCCAAUGUUCUGCAUACCAUGUGGGCUGCUGCUGGUCAAACUGGAGAACAUAAAACAGCUGUGGUAUAAGGAAAAGGCAUUUCAAGAGAAGGACGAUGUGCAAAGCAGUUGACAAGAACUCUCAUAUAUAUAUAAAGCAAAUAUAGAAACAAAUCCUAUUGUAAGGACUGCCUCUGAAGAAUCCUCUAAUAAGGAGAUGUUGGUACCUCUUCAGGAGAACUCAAGGGAGAUGGGAAUCACAGUCACCUGUCAGGGAAGAACUGGAGCCAAACUCUUGUCCAGAAAUGGGAAUAAGUGUUGGAAGAACCUCCCAACUCUAGAUUGUGGAUACAAUGAGCAACGUGCAAUCGGUUCUGUUUUACAGCCAUAAUAGCCUAUAUUCUAUAACUCUUUGGAGGCAAUCGUCGUGACACUUUAACAGCUGGUCAGUUACAAGCCUUUCUCAGGGAAAACUCACAUGGCAGUAAAAGCAACUUCAUAUUACUAUUCUCUUACUCCUUGUCUAUCUGAAGGUGAGGAGUGAAAUAGGUAACUAAAUAUUCUGAGACAAGGAAUUCUGUAGUAGGGCUGUUAUCGGGGAGAAGAAUGCCAUCUACCAUACCAUCAUUUAUGAACUACAUUGACUGAAUUCAUAUAUUAUGUUAAACAAAUUACAUUUUGAAUUAGUGAGUUGUGUAAACGCAUCCCUUGAACAGGUUUGUGGAAAAGGCUGGUAAUCAAUAUAUAAUACUGGUACACCAUGAUCAAUACAAUAGGUCCCAGUCAAUACCCAAGUUCUUUCCUUUUGCAUCCUGAAACUUUCAAAUUCUCUACAAGAUGGAGCUCCAUAUGGAAAACACAACAGUAAUCAAACUUCAGUGUGACCAGAUUAUUUGCACAGCGCAUAAAGGUGUGCAGUAGCCAAGACUGCAAAAUGCAGCACUACUGGCCUGAGCCACAUUGUUCAACGAUAAUACCAAGCAGAAACACUGGCUCUUAAGUGAAUAAACUCUGCAUAUAACAUAAUGCCUCGACAGAUAGCAACCAGCAUUACCUACACAUUUUUAGGAUUAUGCUUCAAUUUAUUUAUAAGCAACUUUCUAAUACUUUACUGCUUCCAGAUAAUGAUUUAAUUUAAUUUGUCUAUUACUUCUCUGGAAGCUCUUGAGAGCGAGAGAUAUAGGAUGAUACAAAUUGCUGAUACCAUACUCCAAAUCUGUGGUUACAUUCCAAAGGCUUCAUUUAGAUUUUAUAAAGGAGACAAAACAGAACCAUGGAGGGUUUCAAAAAGCCAAACCAUUGAGCAUUAGUCCACAAUCUUUGGGACUUGCUUCUUAAACACAACUUUUUAAUGCACGCUGGUUGAUGGCCAUGAACACCAUCAAGAAGUUAAGAUAAACAAACAACAGGGAUCCAUUUUCUCCAUAGUGUAAGCCAUUAUCAAGAGUACUAAAGAUUAUUUUAGUUCUAGAACUAGUUUUGAAACUAGUUCUAGAACUAAACUAAUUCUAGAAAUUAUUUUAUUCAGCAUUUCUGAAAGGGAAUCAGAAAUGCUGCAAAGUUUGCUAUUAGCCAUAUGCUUAAACAUGUUGCCCAAAAAUAAAGCAUAUUUAAGGUUACACAAUAAUGAUAAAGUUUGAAAACAUCCUAAAUGGGAGUUUUUAAAUAAAGGUCUACUUGCUGUAUGUUUUAAAUGGUGCAAUGUCUUAACACAGAAGGCAGUAACCUCUCUUAUUUUCUCCUCUAGCCAUCUGGCAUAUAUCUGUGAACCAUCCAUUUAUGAUAGGAAUUUUACACUAUAUGUAAGUUGGACUAAAAAUCACUUAGAUGAACCAAGACCAAGAUUCCUAGUACAGUGCAAUUUUCACUGAUGAAACUGUAUUCCUCAAUCAAACUGAAAAGCUGGCAAUUUUUAUUCUCAUGCAAAGGUAAGAGUGGGGAGGAGAAAGGAAGGGCUGGAGCAGGAAGAAAAAUUUGCUGAUGUGUUGUUGGACUUCAGUCCUAUCCAAGCGCAUUCUUUGAAUGGAAGUUUAAAAGUGAAAUAAUAAAAGAUCUAAAUAAAUGCACUAGAUGUUUAUUUUUCUAUUAAAUCAA